UGCUUGCUGCGUGCCAGGCACUCUUCUGGGCGCGGGCAAUAUAAAGAGCGACAAAGCAGCGGAUGUCUCUCCCUUCGUGGAGCUCGAGGUUCUUGCUGGGGAGAUCAACCAUUAAACACGCAAUUCCCACAGAGGAUGGGAUACGGAAGCACCGAAACUCUUGCAAUGCUGCUGGUGUAUGUGGACCGAAAAUGGCGGCUGUGGAUGAAUGUUCAUGUCCCCCUACCAUCCAUAUGUUGAAAUCUAACCGCCAAUGUGAUGCUAUCAGGAGGUAGAAACAACAACUCAGGAAGAGACGUAACUUACUGUAAUCGUGGUCCUUCAGCCCCCAUAUGCACCCUUUACCAGCACAUCGGCUCGCGUGGCCAGAGUGAGUGUCCUGGACAGGCCUG